GCGCAGUUCAGUGGUAGAGCACUUGCCCACUAUGCACGAGGUCCUGGGUUCAUCCCCAGCACUAGGGCA
rnacentral:tRNA from 1 species